rnacentral:lncRNA from 1 species
UACCUCAAUUCAAUGAGAUGUCAGAGAGAAGGAAAGAGAUCCUAUUUGAUAUGGUCCAAUCCAUUAUGAGCAUCACUGAGUCUUCCCUUAUUUCUUUGGGGAUAAGCUUAACUUUUAUAAUUUACAUACUGAAUAGUUUCCUCUAAGUUUAUCUUAUCAUGCCGUAUGAGAUGUGGCAUGAUGAGAAUGUUCGGCCCCUGUC